AUAAUUGUUCACAAUGUCAGCAGACCAUAAUGGUACUCAGUGAUGGAACCACAGAGAGUUUGUCAGCCUUUCUUGACGAACACAAUCGAGACAGAAAGGUACGAGUGUUUACUUUUGCUGUGGGUCCCCCAGCUGAGAGCACUGCGGUAUUGCAGUCCAUGGCUUGUAAGAACAGAGGUUACUUUUCACGUAUUCAAAGUGUGGGAGCUGUUAGAGAAGUCAAUGAAGUAAAUAACAUUUGU